UACGGAGGGUGCAAGCGUUAUCCGGAUUCACUGGGUUUAAAGGGUGCGUAGGAGGGCAGGUAAGUCAGUGGUGAAAUCCCCGAGCUUAACUUGGGAACUGCCGUUGAUACUAUCUGUCUUGAAUACCGUGGAGGUGAGCGGAAUAUGUCAUGUAGCGGUGAAAUGCUUAGAUAUGACAUAGAACACCAAUUGCGAAGGCAGCUCGCUACACGAAUAUUGACGCUGAGGUGCGAAAGCGUGGGGAGCAAACAGG
rnacentral:rRNA from 1 species